UGCAAGAUACCUGAUAUUUUCCCAUUUUUUCAGUGUCCAGCACUCACUUUCCCAGCCAGACGUUAGUCAGGUGGGGGAGAUCCACCAGCAAGCCAAGGAGCAAAAGAUCAAAACCGCUCAUCUCCUAGCUGUCAGCCAGGAACUCGCCAAACAGGUCACCCUCAAAUCUCGACAGGCAGCUGCAUCUGCAAAUAAAUCACAUGAUGAUCGGUAUUUUUACAACAGUUGAGAGAGCCAAAAGAAGAAAGACAUGGUCUGGGUCCCCAAGUAAAGUCACUGGUCCAAUUCUGGACCCAGAAGA